GAUGAACGCUAGCGGCAGGCUUAAUACAUGCAAGUCGAGGGGCAGCAUGACUGUAGCAAUACAGUUGAUGGCGACCGGCAAACGGGUGCGGAACACGUACAGAACCUUCCUUCGAGCGGGGAAUAGCCCAGAGAAAUUUGGAUUAAUACCCCAUAGUAUAUUUGAAAGGCAUCUUUUAAAUAUUAAAGAUUUAUCACUUGAAGAUGGCCGUGCGGCUGAUUAGGUAGUUGGCGGGGUAACGGCCCACCAAGCCUGCGAUCAGUAACUGGUGUGAGAGCACGACCAGUCACACGGGCACUGAGACACGGGCCCGACUCCUACGGGAGGCAGCAGUAAGGAAUAUUGGUCAAUGGACGAAAGUCUGAACCAGCCAUGCCGCGUGGAGGAUGAAGGUCCUCUGGAUUGUAAACUUCUUUUAUAUGGGACGAAAAAAGACUUUUCUAAGUCGUCUGACGGUACCAUAUGAAUAAGCACCGGCUAACUCCGUGCCAGCCGCCGCCGUAAGAC
rnacentral:rRNA from 1 species